UGUCAUGGAUUCCUGGAUUACAAAUUUUUAAUCAUUGCUUCGUCUCCUUGUAUAAGGUUGCCAUGUUAGCUACCAUCACUUGCAUAGUGAAGUUACAGCUAGCCAAGUUAGUUAUAGUACAGACACUAACUGAACAGCGAUGCCAUCAAUCUCCUUAGACUGAGCUUUGUUGGCCACUCCCAACUUAUUCAUUACAUCCAGCUUAACUCGAUUGACAAAAACCGAAGACUUUUCCAAGUUGAUUUUCUGACCUAAACAUUGACAAUAUGAGUUUCCUUUAGUGCCUCUACACUCCUCGGUUCACUCAGUGCAAAGAAGAUGAUAUCGUCUUUGAAGACGGGAUGGGAGAUAGAGCAGGAAAAUGGAGGGACUAAUAGGACCCCGGCCUUGUCAAAUCCCUCGAGAAGGAACAAUGGGUGAGGUGAGUUCUUCAUUCACCACAAGGGGGGCACGUGCCCAGGUUGUUAGCACUUAGCAGCCGUCUCUCAUAUCUAAUAUAUGUAUGGGAUGUACUGGUGAAAAUACAUGGGCCACAAAAGCUAUCAUAGAUUUCUAGGUGCUUUCUUGUUCAUGAUGCUCACGCUUCCGCUGCUACAUCUGUUCCAAAGAUUAUAUUUUCCUCCAACCUAAAACUAAUUAUAAAUAUGGCGACAAGUUGCAGAAUUUCCAAAAACAAAUUUAGUCCAUGCCUUGAAGGUAAAUUAUCGAUACCGACUUGUGUUGUUUAUGUUAGGUUCAUAACUCAGGUGUUACAAACCUGCUCCUGGCCAAUAGAGUUAUGCACUUUUUUUUUCUAGAUUUCUCAAUCGAAAUUAAUCCCAUUUUCCUGGAUUCGUUUUUUGUUUCUUGUGUAUAGGUGACAGAUGUUGAAUUCAGUAUGGCCAAAGAGAAGUUCUUGCUAAAAAAAAGUGUACCAGAGGGGCUCUACCUCUGGAACUGUUUACCCCUGGGAUCUCAAUUUACUCUUGGCCGCAACCCACGGACUGAGUUGUGUUUGUGUUUGGAUAAAAUGUGUAGUUUUUCUACCUACAUAUAUGUAUUCCUAUUUUACAUAUAGUAAUCUAGAAUUCUAGAUCUUGGCUGCAAUGGCGGAUGCAUCCCAUUGCUUUUACCUAUCUGUUUCACACCACAUUAAAGCUACUUAAUUUCGUUACUAUGCAAAUAUUGUAACUUUGAUUUACGGAAUUUUGGAAGUGGCUGAGAUUUGUUA